rnacentral:rRNA from 1 species
UACGUAGGGACCAAGCGUUGUUCGGAUUUACUGGGCGUAAAGGGCGCGUAGGCGGCAUGACAAGUCACUUGUGAAAUCUCCGGGCUUAACUCGGAACGGCCAAGUGAAACUGUCAAGCUAGAGUGCAGAAGGGGCAAUCGGAAUUCUUGGUGUAGCGGUGAAAUGCGUAGAUAUCAAGAGGAACACCUGAGGUGAAGGCGGGUUGCUGGGCUGGCACUGACGCUGAGGCGCGAAAGCGUGGGGAGCGAACAGG